AUAUUAUUAUAAGAGGGUCUGGAUUACUGACAAGAAUUUGAUUAUGAUUAGUUAUCUUUUUUAUUAAUUUGGGUAUAAAAUUGGAGUAAAACUCAUGAAAUGUAGUCCUAAAAGGGCUUAAAAAAAAAAAAAAGAAAGAGAAAGGAAAACUGAAAGGAUGGGGUUCUAAAAGUAGUAUGUAUUUGUUUUAUUAUUGAAAUAAAUAAUGUCAACCACCGAUAUGAAAAAGGUUCCAAUAGCCCCCAAUGAAAACCUGAUUCCAUAAAUAAGUAAAUAAAUAAAUAACCUUAUAGUGAUACGGCAUUGAGUUUGGUGUGAACUUAAUAAUUUGUCCUUUGACACAUUGGUUUGAAAACCAUUCAUCAGGCGCCGAGUGAUAUGACCUACAAACAUGCCAUCCCCAUCAUUUCUCUUUCUUUUCCCUCUCCACUCUACCACAAAACUAAGAUACAUGAAAUAGAUGGAGGUUGAUCUUUGUAAUAAACCCAACUCAUGGGUUCAAAUUUUUAUGAUCUCAAACUACAGGAAUCUUAACUUGAAGGCAACAAUAAUAAAACUGAAUUACAUUUUUAGGGUUUUGUGGUACACAUUAUUAUAUUAAACGGAACUAGUUGCUACUCUAGUUUGAGGUGGGCAAUGGGCUUAAUACUUUUAGUUGAUCAAUUGACACAGAGAGAGAUCUGAGAAAAAUGGAGAAAGAAAAGACAGAUUGAUGGGAGGAGGAGGAGGAGGAGAAGGGAUUGGCAGAAAGUGACCAAAACAAAACCCUCAUCAUUAUUUAUUUGAUCUUUCUGUAUUUGCAAUUUGCACCCCAAACCCACCAAUCAAUCCCUCUCUCUCUCUCAUCCCUCAUGCAUCUCUGUCAUAUUAAUUAAUAACUCUUCUCUCUCUCUCUCUCUCUUUGAUUACUUACUGUGUAUUCACUUCUUUUCCAUCUUAAAUAGAACCCCAUCUGCUGCCUCUGCCCUAUAAACUUUCAUAUCCAUUUUCUCUCAUCCAUUUGUGCUCUCUUUUGGGUGGUUCAUGGGGUUUCCUUGGUUGGUUUCCCAGAUCACUUAAAUGUUGGAUUCAUAUUCCAAUCUUCAAGCGUGGAAGGCGAAAUCUAGACGUGUUUUCAUGUGGGUUUGUUGUUUUAGCAAAGGAUUUCCCAACAGAGUUUAUUGGCAUUCUGUCCACCUCCCCGGUUUCAGUGUUUGAUUCAAUACUUCUGGUUCUGUUCUUUGUUUCCUUUGUAAUAUGGGGAGGUGGGCAUACUGCCAACUGAGCUCUGUUGGAUUCUCUUUGUAAAAGCCCUCAUGAUGCCUUUCUCUCUUUUCAUCCUCUUCAUUUUACUUUCUCUUUUCUUGUUUUGCAGAAAUCUUUCUUCAAAGGUAGUAGUAACCCCAUCAUAGUUAUUCGUUUAUUAUUCUCUUUUGCUCUCUGAAGGUCUCUCAUCAUUCUGUUUUUCCACAGCCCACUACCAUCAUGAAGGUUUCUUUCUCAGCCGAAGAUGCUUCCAUUAUUACCUUCUCCUGAGGCGGCGCGUGCGUUUCUCGGUCGGCCAUUCACGGCGGCGCUUUCAGGCUACGUGCUUGUUUCGUCCCCCGCCGUCGGCUGCCAGCAGGAAAUGGUUUCGCAGAUGGUGUUUAUUUUAGGUCUGUUUGGUAUUGGAAUUAGAGCCUAUGAAGAUCUGAUACGAUCUUCUUCAAGCUUUGGAGCGAGCUAGCUAGGGUUUCGCCUUAUAAUUUUCUGCAGACGGACAGUCGUAGGGAAUAAUUCUCUCUCCAAUUUAUUAAAAAUCAUUCUGUUAAU